rnacentral:miRNA from 1 species
UGGAGAUCCAGUGCUCGCCAGAU